rnacentral:rRNA from 1 species
GGUUAAGCGACUAAGCGUACACGGUGGAUGCCCUGGCAGUCAGAGGCGAUGAAGGGCGUGCUAAUCUGCGAUAAGCGCCGGUAAGGUGAUAUGAACCGUUAUAACCGGCGAUUUCCGAAUGGGGAAACCCAGUGUGAUUCGUCACACUAUCAUUAACUGAAUCCAUAGGUUAAUGAGGCGAACCGGGGGAACUGAAACAUCUAAGUACCCCGAGGAAAAGAAAUCAACCGAGAUUCCCCCAGUAGCGGCGAGCGAACGGGGAGGAGCCCAGAGCCUGAAUCAGCAUGUGUGUUAGUGGAAGCGUCUGGAAAGGCGCGCGAUACAGGGUGACAGCCCCGUACACAAAAGCGCAUGUGCUGUGAGCUCGAUGAGUAGGGCGGGACACGUGGUAUCCUGUCUGAAUAUGGGGGGACCAUCCUCCAAGGCUAAAUACUCCUGACUGACCGAUAGUGAACCAGUACCGUGAGGGAAAGGCGAAAAGAACCCCGGCGAGGGGAGUGAAAAAGAACCUGAAACCGUGUACGUACAAGCAGUGGGAGCACAGGUUUACCUGUGUGACUGCGUACCUUUUGUAUAAUGGGUCAGCGACUUAUAUUCUGUAGCAAGGUUAACCGUAUAGGGGAGCCGUAGGGAAACCGAGUCUUAACCGGGCGUUAAGUUGCAGGGUAUAGACCCGAAACCCGGUGAUCUAGCCAUGGGCAGGUUGAAGGUUGGGUAACACUAACUGGAGGACCGAACCGACUAAUGUUGAAAAAUUAGCGGAUGACCUGUGGCUGGGGGUGAAAGGCCAAUCAAACCGGGAGAUAGCUGGUUCUCCCCGAAAGCUAUUUAGGUAGCGCCUCGUGAAUUCAUCUCCGGGGGUAGAGCACUGUUUCGGCUAGGGGGCCAUCCCGGCUUACCAACCCGAUGCAAACUGCGAAUACCGGAGAAUGUUAUCACGGGAGACACACGGCGGGUGCUAACGUCCGUCGUGAAGAGGGAAACAACCCAGACCGCCAGCUAAGGUCCCAAAGUCAUGGUUAAGUGGGAAACGAUGUGGGAAGGCCCAGACAGCCAGGAUGUUGGCUUAGAAGCAGCCAUCAUUUAAAGAAAGCGUAAUAGCUCACUGGUCGAGUCGGCCUGCGCGGAAGAUGUAACGGGGCUAAACCAUGCACCGAAGCUGCGGCAGCGACGCUGAUGCGUUGUUGGGUAGGGGAGCGUUCUGUAAGCCUGCGAAGGUGACCUGUGAGGGUUGCUGGAGGUAUCAGAAGUGCGAAUGCUGACAUAAGUAACGAUAAAGCGGGUGAAAAGCCCGCUCGCCGGAAGACCAAGGGUUCCUGUCCAACGUUAAUCGGGGCAGGGUGAGUCGACCCCUAAGGCGAGGCCGAAAGGCGUAGUCGAUGGGAAACGGGUUAAUAUUCCCGUACUUGGUGUUACUGCGAAGGGGGGACGGAGAAGGCUAUGUUGGCCGGGCGACGGUUGUCCCGGUUUAAGCGUGUAGGUGUGUGUUCCAGGUAAAUCCGGUUCACUUUAACACUGAGGCGUGACGACGAGGCACUACGGUGCUGAAGCAACAAAUGCCCUGCUUCCAGGAAAAGCCUCUAAGCAUCAGGUAACACGAAAUCGUACCCCAAACCGACACAGGUGGUCAGGUAGAGAAUACCAAGGCGCUUGAGAGAACUCGGGUGAAGGAACUAGGCAAAAUGGUGCCGUAACUUCGGGAGAAGGCACGCUGACACGUAGGUGAAGUGAUUUACUCAUGGAGCUGAAGUCAGUCGAAGAUACCAGCUGGCUGCAACUGUUUAUUAAAAACACAGCACUGUGCAAACACGAAAGUGGACGUAUACGGUGUGACGCCUGCCCGGUGCCGGAAGGUUAAUUGAUGGGGUCAGCGCAAGCGAAGCUCCUGAUCGAAGCCCCGGUAAACGGCGGCCGUAACUAUAACGGUCCUAAGGUAGCGAAAUUCCUUGUCGGGUAAGUUCCGACCUGCACGAAUGGCGUAAUGAUGGCCAGGCUGUCUCCACCCGAGACUCAGUGAAAUUGAACUCGCUGUGAAGAUGCAGUGUACCCGCGGCAAGACGGAAAGACCCCGUGAACCUUUACUAUAGCUUGACACUGAACAUUGAGCCUUGAUGUGUAGGAUAGGUGGGAGGCUUUGAAGUGUGGACGCCAGUCUGCAUGGAGCCGACCUUGAAAUACCACCCUUUAAUGUUUGAUGUUCUAACGUGGACCCGUAAUCCGGGUUGCGGACAGUGUCUGGUGGGUAGUUUGACUGGGGCGGUCUCCUCCUAAAGAGUAACGGAGGAGCACGAAGGUUGGCUAAUCCUGGUCGGACAUCAGGAGGUUAGUGCAAUGGCAUAAGCCAGCUUGACUGCGAGCGUGACGGCGCGAGCAGGUGCGAAAGCAGGUCAUAGUGAUCCGGUGGUUCUGAAUGGAAGGGCCAUCGCUCAACGGAUAAAAGGUACUCCGGGGAUAACAGGCUGAUACCGCCCAAGAGUUCAUAUCGACGGCGGUGUUUGGCACCUCGAUGUCGGCUCAUCACAUCCUGGGGCUGAAGUAGGUCCCAAGGGUAUGGCUGUUCGCCAUUUAAAGUGGUACGCGAGCUGGGUUUAGAACGUCGUGAGACAGUUCGGUCCCUAUCUGCCGUGGGCGCUGGAGAACUGAGGGGGGCUGCUCCUAGUACGAGAGGACCGGAGUGGACGCAUCACUGGUGUUCGGGUUGUCAUGCCAAUGGCACUGCCCGGUAGCUAAAUGCGGAAGAGAUAAGUGCUGAAAGCAUCUAAGCACGAAACUUGCCCCGAGAUGAGUUCUCCCUGAGACUUAGAGUCUCCUGAAGGAACGUUGAAGACGACGACGUUGAUAGGCCGGGUGUGUAAGCGCAGCGAUGCGUUGAGCUAACCGGUACUAAUGAACCGUGAGGCUUAACCUU